UACAAGAAAUCUACGCAUCAGCGGCGCACGUCCACAGGCGGCCACAACGAACCGCCCGUGUAAAUGGAAAAUGAGGGGCGUUUUUACGUGGCCGACCCUGUAUGAAUAAGCCACCGCCGCUGCAAAAACAGGCUUUUCACCUCCCGCGUUCCCAAAUCCGAGCGGCAAAAUUUCUCUCCCAGAACCAUCUUCCCUCUUCUCUCCCCAAAUCGUCUCAUCCCCAGAUCGCGCACGCGCCAAUAUUUCUCUCCCAAAACCCUUCUUCCCUCUUCUCUCCCAAAUCGCCCCAUCCCCAAAUCGCACGCCUCAUCCCCAAAUCCCGAAAGUCUCUCUCUCCAACGUCCCUCCACUCCUCAAUCGAUUGUUCCUGUCUUGCUCUCAGUCUCGAUUUUCCUCUCGCUCUCUCUCUCUCUCGUUAAAGAUGGUCGGUUUGCCGUCCACGCCGACAUCGACGCUGAUAGAGAAAGGGGAAGCUGAAUGAAGCAUAAAUGGUGUUUGACGAAAUGCGUAAGAGAGGGAUAAGUGCUGCUAAAGCAACAUUAGCUGCUUUGGUUUAUGGAGGGGAUAAGAUAGCUUGAUGUUUUGAAAUGGCUGUAAUGAUUGCGCUUGAGUUUAAAGCAAUCUUAGACGUUGCAGCCACUGAGAAGAGAGAUUCUGAAGAUGGUAGCAGAUAUUUGUGCAGUUGAUGAUAUCAUAUGAUGAAUUGAUGGUUGUUUAGUACAUUAUAGCUGGUUCUGAGACCUGAUAGUCAUGUGAUUUUAGAGCUUCAAAUCUAGUUCAAAUGCCAUAGUUGUUGUUGUUGUCUUUCUUGGCAAGCAUAAAAUUCCAUCUAGUCAUUUCUCAGUUUUUCCUCAUUUUGAUAUAACCUUUCAUUCAAUGUAGACAGUGGAUGUAUUUUUCUCAUUAACUAUUUGCAGGCCACUGACUGAAAAGCUAGGAUCAUUCAACCAGGAAGAUUUUCGGCAUGUGUAUGGUUGGGCCUAUGAGGCCAACAACCUGCAUCACCAAACCUGGGCCUGAGUUGUAUGGAAUUUAGAACCAUUGAUCUUCAUUCUUGCGGUGGUCCUGUUAAAUAUAUGAAGUUUUCAAUUGUUUUCACCACUCAUGUCAAGGAGAUUUUACUAUAUGAAUAUGUGGGAGCAUGUGCACCCAAACUGACUAACCCAAUUUAAUCGGAUUUACUAAUUGGGGUUGGAUUCGGGCCCAUGAAACCUGAACUGACAAUAAAUCAUGCCUAGAUCAGAUAUAUGAAUUUGUAGUCUUUUCCUUUAUUUGAUUAUAUUUAUCAUUUAAAUCAUAUAAAGGCAAUCUUCAGGCAUGCUGAGGCUGCUAGAAUUAGGGGGAAAUAUCCAGAGAGGAUUCCUGUAAGCGUUUACUCUAACUGGUAGUCAUAUACUGGUUCUUCCCCCUCAUGCAACAACUAUGAGAGGUGGGUCCACAGUUAUAGACACCCAUUACUCUGUUUUGAAAUUUGCACAAUACACUGGAGCUCAUCCAAUUGCAGGGCGGCACACACCAGGAACCUUCAGGUUCUAUUUAUGAAUACAGGAUGCAUUUUGAAAAGGAUAAAGCAUUAGCUCGACGAUUCCAGCCUGUGUUGAUAAACGAGCCUAGCCAGUUGGAGAAACACCAGAGAGCUGAUCAGGAGCUGAAGAAGCGUGUAUUGAAGUUGGUAUUCUCUCUUCAAGAAGCUCGGUCCCAAACAUGGAAGCUUCAAAGGAUCCAACUAAGCAUGCAUGUUUGGAUUGGGAAAGGUGAUACAAAAUCAUAGGAGGGAUUGCAUGUGGGCUGCUAUAUCUUCACGAAGAUUCUCGGCUUAAGAUUAUUCAUCGAGGUCUCAAGGCAAGUAAUAUCUUGCUAGAUGGGGAGAUAAAUGCAAAAAUUUGGUGUUGUUUAUGCCACCAUCUAUUGGAACUAUAUUAACCAAUCUUCAACCCUUUUUUCAGUUGAAUGUGGAUCAUUGCUGCAUUUCUCUUAUUAGCCGUUUAUUUCCAAGCAACAGCUUGAAAACUAAGGAUUUUUCUGUGUCGGUCAUAUUCAGGGAGUGUCGGCUUGAUUUUUCGCUAGAUGAUUGUCAUGGUGGGGCCUAUCUUCUGCAUAGAUGGGAUGUCCCACCUUGCAACACCGACGCAAGUAAAGGAAUGGGCCACAAACAUGGGACCCAAAGACGAUCCUUGGUUGAGGUCAUGGAUUUGAUCCCAAAUCAUCCAAUUACGGAAAAAGAGGCCAUUAUUACUGACUCAAUCACGAUAAUCAACCUUCACAUUAAGGAGGCAGCCAUGAUAUGAUUGGAAAUGAGGUUGUUGUAUUCCGUCCCCUUGAGAAGACAUAGGUACAUCUCCUUUUCUUGUG